rnacentral:lncRNA from 1 species
UAAUUGAUGACUUAAUUUGUUAGAGCAGGAAAUUGAUGAGCUAUCCUCAGUAUUGCUCAUAUCAUACCUUGUUUACAUCUCUCAUUUUCUGAUUAGAGGGUUUGGACAUCUUCCCCUGGUCUAUUUUCUUCUCAAUCUUUGUUUUCUGCUGUUGCAAUUAUUGAUUCUCCAGUGCCUUUUCAGGGGGCAAUUUCAUUUAGAAUUCUGAAGUUCAUCAGAAGUUAGAGCUUUUCCUUGUGUAGACGCUAUGAAAGGGUUAAUACCAUUGAAUGGUUGUAGGCUAGAGGCCUUCCAUUACCUAUAAUCCUGAGGAUUGUGUUCUCAGCUUAGACAACAGUGACACAGCUGACCACUCCUUUCUACUAUGCCCUGUGUGGUUUAUGAAAAUAUUUUGCUCAAGGAGGCAGGCUUGCCUUGUGCCUUCCCCUCAUGGAUGUUGCUCAGAUGAGCCAAACCAGGUGUGGAUGGUUUGGUUAGAGAUUUUAGAGUGCAGGCAGAUCCUGGAGGUUGUUUACUACCUUACUUCAUUAUGGGCUUUAAUUCUACUUGGUUCUUGGAUACCUCUAGGCAUGAUUUAAACCAUAUCAAAGAAAGGCAUGUAGUACUAAAGCUGGUAAUAGGCAUGGUUCAAAGUCGUGGUAUUGGUCAUUGACUCAAAGGCUCCCGAGGUGCAUUGAUCUCGGUGUCUUGGCUUGGUGUCGGAUGAUACUCAAAAUAAAAUAGUUCAAAAGUUCAAAAAAUUCUAAUAAUAUUAUGAAUUUUUUAGAAAAAUAAAUAUAAUUAAAUAAGCUUAAAAAACUAAUCAAACAAAAUUUUCUCAAAUUUAACAUUAUUUAAAUAGUUAUAAAAUAUUGGUAGAAUGUAAUUUAUGAUAAUAUUAAGAAUUAAACAUGAUUUUAUUUCAAAUACAAUGAUAUUUUUACUAAAAGGCAUAUAAUUCAAUCAUCAAUUCCAUUUUUACUUUUGAUUAUGUGAUUACAACAUUUUAUGUUUAAAUAUAGAAUUAAAAAUAUAUUUGUCAAACCAAGUACAAUAUAUUGUUAAUUAAAUAUUUUAAUAUUUUAAUAUAAUAAUAAAUUGAUUGGUUUCAAUAUAUUGUUAAUAAUAAAUAAAUAUACCAUAUAUGCUACCAUUACCAUAUAAAAUAAUACAAUACUUAAACUAAUAUAAUUUAUACCACACCAUUAACAUAUAAAAUAAUAAACUAUUGUCAUAUAAAAUAAUUGAUUAUAAAAUAUGAUAAUAUAUUACCUUGGAUUAAUGCAAUUCAUAUUGAUUCAUACUACAUUAAUAUAUAAAAUGAUAAAAUAUAGAGUUAACAUGACUAUCUUCUUCAAAUCGCCAAUUCACCAUAAUGCACACCUAUGGGAAGAGAGAAAAGGGUUGACAAAAGCAAAGAAAGAGAUAAGGGCAGUUGUGUUAGCUUGUAUACCCACACCCAUGACACCAAAGACCCAAAAUAGAGAGACGAGAGACCAAAGGCAAGGAUCGUCAAUGGAGGAAAUCCAUAUGAUGUCUCUCAAGUCUCAACCUCCUCUUCUUAUACACUUCCAGAUUUAGUCAUGGGUAAUCUUUCUUCCUCUUCAUCAUGGGUCAUGGGUUUUGAUUCUUGGAAAGCCAUUCCUUUUGAAGAAAAUCUUUGAUUUUUCAUAGAUUUUUAGGUUGGAUCUUGUUUUGUUGUUGAUUUGCUUGUGAUUUGAAGUGAAACAAAUGAUUUCUUUCAAUAACUUGGACAGUUCAAUCGAGCCCUUGAGAUCUCGAUCAAGUCAACCGAGUUUAAAUGGGUCUUAAUCGAGUCUAAAUCUGAGAUGGUAUCAGGUAUCGAACUUGACACGAAGAGGGCCAAAGUGGAUACAACUCGGUCGAUACUUUGAACCAUGAUGUAUAGAGAGUUCGAACCCUCUGCAUCUUCACCCCUAUGUUUGCAUCUUUAUAUGGUUGUUUCAUCUUUAGUUUAGAGCUUUCAAAAAAGGGAAUAGGUGUUUGGUGGGGUGUAUGAAUUAUGGGUAUUUGAUAGGAUGGAAUUUGGGUAUUUGUCUUUAAGUGAAUAAUGAGUUUUUGGUGAGCAUUUACAUUUAAAUGGAUAAUGGAAAUUUAAAAUGAAUAAUGAAUAUUUGGUUUUACAUCAAAUAAAUGGGAAAUGGAUAUUGAUAUAAAAAUUAAAAUUAAUGAAUAGAUGUAUAAGAAAAAAUAUUCAUUUUUAAAUAUGCUCAUUCAAAUAAAAAUUUCGUGUUAGUCUACAUAUGCUUUGAAAGUCCCCCCCAGAAAUCAACUUUGACUAAAAAUUCCAUGCAGUGUAAAGUUUUGUAUUGCUGCAAAGGUUGUUUAAUCUGAGGAAAAGUAGCAAGAAAUGGGGCAUUUGUCUCAGAUUUAACCAUAGAAUAGAAGGUUUGUUUUGUUCACAAGAGGCUGCUGUUUUAUCUUUUGUGUGUUGAUAGCCUUCAUAUGAUCUCAACUGGACCGCAAAUGAUGUGUUUUCCUUCUUUAAUUGCAAUGAUAUAUAUAUAUUCUUUCUUUAAACCAUCUUCGACAAAUACCUGAGAUUACUAAACUCUUCUUAGUAUAUCAAAAUUUGCUCGAGAUACUAAUGUCUUCUUUGAAUUUCAUGCUAAUUCAUGCUUUGUCAAGGAUCAGGUUUCUAAAACAAUUCUACUGGAAGGAGAGCUUAAAGAUGGACCAUAUGUGUUUGACCAAUCUCAAGUAGAUCCCUCAAAAGAAUGGUUGUCUUAUUUUUCUGUUUCAGUUGCUCCAUUCAAUCCACACUUGGCCAUCACUCACAUCUAGGAGCACAAGCCUUUAGUUUUUGCUUCUUCUAUAAUCAUCCUUCAUGUAUGUCGGUAUAUGAACUUUGACACAAUAGAUUAGGCUAUCAUUAGAAAAUUGUAAAAUUCGUUUUGUCAAAUUGUAAAUUUUUCCAGUUUCAAUUUCAAUAAAGAUUGUUCCCAUCUUAGAAACAGAAUAUACUCAACUUUGCAACUAUUCCUUUCAGAUUUGUAGGGUCCUUCACCCACCCAAUCUUCUAGUGGUUAUAGAUAUUAUAUGCUCAUCUGGAUUCACUUGAAUCUAUCUGUUGAGAAAUAAAUCAGAUGCUUUACAGACCUUUAUUUAAUUUCAAAAAUCAGGUUGAACUAUUGUUAGGAUGUAAGAUUAAAAAUAUAGGUUAUAUUUUAAAUCUAUUACUCUUAUUGUUAACAUAAUAUUAAUAUUUCUUUGAUAGGAAAUAUAUUAAUAAAUUAAUAAUAAAUACAUAUUUACGCAUCUUUUUAUAAUAUAUAAAUUAAUAAUAAAUUCAGAUUCAUAUAUCUUUGAAAUAGUUAAAAUAUAUAGGUUCUAUUUUAAAUUUAUUAAUCUUAUUGUUUACAUAAUAUUAAUAUUUCAACAAUAAAUAUAUAUUCACAUAUCUUUGAAAAUAAAAAAAUUAAUAAUAAAUGUAUAUUCAUUAGGGGCAAAGCUUUUGGUUUUUUUAUAUUAUCAAAGAGUUGAACAAUGAAAAUAGAUGGCAAAUAUCCGAUCGAAAUUAAUCGGAUCAUGUAGGAACAAGGUUCGAGUCUACCGGUCUGUUAAGAUGCCUCAGUUGCAUACAUUAUUGCACGUCCACUUGACACCUAUCAUAAUGAUAAACGACUCGUCUCACGGUGACCUUCUUUUGAAUUCUCAAAACCUUUGUCGCUCCACCCCUAAAGGGAUAGAGAACCCAUCGUUGUCUCAGUUGUGCUAUCAGAGGCUUUGGCCAAGUCGGAAUAGGAGAAACAUGAGGGAGAUACAGUGCCACAUAAUUUUUCAUGAGGAGUUCCUUUCCUUUCCUGCUAUUGAUUCUUUCAAAUUUAUUAAGAUCAAUUUUAAUUAAUGUAGCUAAAGAGACAACCAUAACUAAUUUGUAAGUUGCAACAUCCCAUGAUAGAGCAAGAUCUGAAAUUUGUCCACCUAAGAUGGGAUUUGGAAUUCCUAAAUAUUAACAACUGAAAGUCAUUUAAUAGACUUUUUGGUUCCCAUAGAUGACAACAUAUCUAAAAGAUCCUCAUCAAUAAUUUUCAAAGAAAAAAAAUCUUAUUCUCUCCUAUUUUACACCUUAUCUUUUCCCAUAUUUUAAAUUUUUUUUAUUUCAUCUUCUUUAUAAGGUGAAGCAUAGGAUCACGUAGUGUUCUACAAAUCUCAUAACUCUCAAUAAGACCAUUCAAGACAAAUUGGAAAUUAUUUUGAUAGAAUAAUAAUAUUCACUUUCAUGUAACACACUUUAUUAUUUCCAAGAUUUUCUUUAAUUCUUCCUUUUAGAGUUCACCAUCGGAUCAUGAAGUUCCAUGUUUCCAACCGUCAUUCUCACACAAGGAUAUAUAUGCUUUCUUAGUCAAUCAAUUCAAAUCCGCAUAUGUUUUUUUAUAAGAGAGUUUUUUUUAAUCAUAAAAUCAAACACCCAUAACAAAAAUUAAAAUUUUAGUUAUCAGAAAAUUUGAGGGAAAAUACAAAAAAAAUAUAUAUAUAAAAGAAAAAUAGAAAAAAAUCAAAAGUGAAAGAAGAUAAAAAAAAAAAAAAAGGAUUAAAUUCAAUAAAUUAUUUUUAUUUACUACUUAAAACUUAAUUUUAAAAUGUAUAAGUUUUUAAUUAAUUUUAAUUAUAUUUGAUUUUCUUUAGUAUUUGUUGUAAGAUAAUUACACAUUCAAUAUUUUUUCUUUUUUUAAACAAACAUAAUCUUAAAGACUAAACAUUUAACAUAUAUAUAUAUAUAUAUAGAGAGAGAGAGAUCCAAAGUAUUUUCUAGAAUCAAACAUAACAUAAUCUUAGAGAGAGAGGAGGCGGAGGGAAGACCCUCUUUCCAAGAUGAGUUACAUAAAAUAAAUAAAUAGAUGAAAUGUUGAAAAGAAAUAUCAAAAUUAUUUGAAUGUUUGAAACCUAUCGUCAUUUUCAACCUUCAUAAUCCUUACAUGAAUACAUAUACACAUGGAUUAAAAUAUCGUGAUAUUUUGGCGAUAUAUCGCCCAAAAAUAUCAAGUAUCGAUGGACCUCAACACAAUACAUGGGGGAGAAAUAUCGGCCGCCAAAAGGUUUGCAAUGUAUUGUGCCAACCACUGGGGCAAUCCAUAAACUACACCAAAUACAUAUAUACUCAAAUUCAACAUAUAAACAUAUUUUUUUAAAAAUGUUUUAAAUAACAAAUUAAUUAUAAUUAUUUUAUAAUUAAAUGAAAUUUUUUUAUCUAUUUGAAUAACAAAAAUAUUAAAUUAUCAUGAUAAUUUUCUUCACAGUGUUUUUAAUAUCAUUAAUAUAUUAAUUAAUAUUAUCAUUUAUUUUAUAUCAUUUAAUACAAUUGAAUUAAAUGAAUUAUAAUUUUAAUAUUAAAUAUAUUUUUAAAUUAAACAUAUUAUAAUCAAAUAUCAUAAUAUUAUUAUCGAAUGAUAUUUGAUAUAAUUUAAUAAUAAAUAUGUGUUUAUGAAAUUCAUUUUUUUUUAUUAGCAUAUACAAUAUUAUUAUUAAAUAUAAUAAAUUAUAUUAUAUAUAUAUAUCAAUUACAAUUCUAUUAUACUUCUAAUUUUAUUUUUAAGAGUUUUUUCUUUUAUUUUUAUAAUUUCUGAUCAAUUUUAGGUUCACCGAUAUUUUGUGUCAUAAUAUCCGUCGAUAUAUCUCUGAUACAUUCAUAAAAUGAAAGUACCGAUAUAUCCAUAAUUAUCAAUAUUUUCAUCCUUGCAUAUACAUAAGUAGCUAAAUUUUUAUUUCAAAAUUACAAUAUUGUUAUUCUUAUUUGAUGAUAUAUACAAAUAAUAAGAACCAGAUCUUUGUCUUGGAGGUGUUGCUUACAAAAACCAAUAAAAGUAGAAAAUGGUAAAUCAUGGGAAUGCUUAUUGAUACAAAUAUAGAAGAAAAACUAAGAGAUGAAUGAAGUGUGAAUUUGCAUAGAAUCAUCCAUUUUUGCUAUAAGCUUGUCUUUCAAACAAGGACUAAAUGGGUUUGAGGGUUUUUCUUAAUGAGAGAAAAUGAAAAAGUAUGAAUUGGAAAGGCAUGAUUGAGAAGACAAUAUGGUGUUUAUUAUAAAUGGAAAUUAAUGUUUUAUAAGGACUUUUUGAAGAAAAAAAAUAUUUAUACAAAUAUAGAAAAUGAUUGAAAAAUAAAAUAAUAUAGAUAAAAAUUAUUUUUAAGAAAUAUUUGAAAACAAAGAAAACAUAUUGAGAAUGUUCGAAGUUCUCUGAUAGAGAAUUAUUUUUGAAAACUAUUGUUAAAAAUGUUCUUAGGCCAUUGUUUCUCAAAAAUAAGUUUUCAAGUACAAUUUUAUCUUUAAUAAAUACAAAAAAAAAAAAAAAAAAAAACUAUUCUUAAGAAGUGUUUUUUGAAAGUGUUUCAAAAAAUACUUCCUAAAUAUAGCCUACCUCAUUUUAAUAAAUAAAAUUAAAAAUGAAAUACUAAUUAUUAUAUAAUUAUUUUAAAGUUAAGAUGAUAAUAAUAUUAAAAGGGGAUCAAGUCUUUUGGAAUAUAAAUACAAUAUUAUAUAAAAAAAAAUAUUCUCUAUAUGAAUGAAGAGAACAUAAAAUUUUUGAAAUAAAAAUAUUAGUUUUGUAAAUGAGAUGGUAUAAAUAAAGGUAUUGGUUUUUGUAAAUAUUAAAUAAAAUGUCAUAAAUUUGAUAUGAUAUCGAUUUAAAUCAUUUUGUUAGAUAUUUAAUUAAUUUAUUAUAAAAGUGAUAUGGUAAGAAUAAGUUAUUGUUUAGAUAUAUUUUUUAUUUUUUAUUUUUAAAAAUAAAAUAUAAUAAUAAUUAUUGUAUAAAAUAUAAAAAUAUUUUGAAAUUAAAAGUCCUUUAACAAUGAUUUUUAAAAGUAUUUUUAUCUUUAAAAAUUUGAAAUAAAAAUAAGCUGUGUGACAAAUUUUAAAAAAUAUUUUUAAAAAUUCGGGGAAUUUGACUGCUGUUUUUUUAAAAAAACACUUCAAAAUUUUAAAAUAUUCCAAAAAUGCCCCAAGUGAUUCCCGUUACCUCCCUUUCCCUUUCAUUCAUACCUCUCUCCUUCAUUCUUCCCCUCCAUCGCUCUCCAUCCGAGACUAAACAGUUGGAAAGACACUCCACUUUUACUCGACAUCGUUGAUCUGAUCGAAGGUAACCCUCUGUUCUAUUCUUCUUUUUUUUUUUUUUUUUUUUUUUUGUAAUGUCUGAUUGUCUUCAGAUGUUAGUUAGGGUUUUGGGUUUUAGGAUUUCAAUAAAGCAGUCGAGUCUCAUUUCCCAGUACUUCUCUCUCUAAAACCCUCAUUCUCUAUUCUAGUUCACAUAUGCAAGUGCUCUGUUUAGGGUUUUUGAGUUCACGUGUUGCAGGUCCGUUUCUUUUUUAAGGAAGAAAAAUUUUGUUUGGUGAUAUCUUGUUAUUUAGAGCCCGUUUGAUAUGGUUGUUGUCUCAUUGUUAUUAGGAUUUUGUGGUUUGUUUGAUUGUUGUGAUUUUUGUGGUUUGUUGGGUUAUUAGGAUUUUAUGGUUUGUUUGAUUGUUGAAACCUAAAGGAAAAUAUAAGAAAAUUUUGGGUUUAAUCUUAUUAAUUUCAUAUUAUAGUUUGUUGGGUAGAGCAUUUGCGCUCAAACUGUUUGUUAGGAUGCCCAUGAGAGUUCUUAGACCUUGUGGAGACCUAGGAAAUAAUCUUGCCAGUGUUCCUGGAGACCCGGCUUUUAUUUUCUCUUUGUUGUAAAUGGUCAGGGAAUCAGAACUUAUGUUCCGGGUGGAAAGAGCAGGGAAUAUGUGAUGAGAAUUUUCAAGUGUUUGAUUGCUUCUUUUUUCCAUCUGAUUAUUUUUUAUGUCCAAUUAUGUUGUUAUGGUGUUAGGCUAAACUGCACAGAAUUUAUACUUCAUAGAGGCCAAGUCUAAUUAAAGUCAUGAGUUGAUGCUCUUCUUUCUCUUUACUUGUGUCUAACUAGAAAGCCAAUUCAUUGUUUCAUCAACAUACAAAGUGCACAGAAUCAAUGGUGUUAGUGCUUUACUCCAAUAUCUACUAGCCCAGCCCAACAACCUCAAUUUCAGAUUUUCUGUUUAUGUGGACAGGGCUGAGAAAAGACACAAGUACCAAUAUUUCAAUAAGAAGCCUUGGAGUUGAGUGGCAAAGUAUUCUUAGUUUAUGUGGACUAGGAUAGUUCGGAUGAGGUUUUCUUUUGUUGAUUUGAUGUAUGAUGUUGGUGGACACAGGUACAGAGAGUUGUUACCGUGGCAUCCCGAAGAAUUGGGGCAUAUGAUAGUUACUGUGGGGUCCACACAACCCAGCUUACCAUUUGAUUGUGUUCUAGUGGCUUAUUCCUUAUCAGCACAUAAGAAUGGGCCUAGCGGCUUACCUUCAUUGGAUUUUCUGUAUAAAUCCAUCCCAUAGUGUUGAUUACUCUUCAUUUAUCUCUGUUUUCUUUUCUCAGCUGAGAUCUUUAAAGUUGAUCAGUUGUAAACCAUUCAAUCAUUUAUCAGCACCGCUGAAUGUAAAUUUGUUUUUUUCUGUAUAAAAAAAUUAUUGACUUACAUUGCAUCUAUAAAAUUUAAGUUUACAAAAGAUUUAAAGUUUUUUCUUAUGUAGAUAUGUAAUUUUCAGUUGCUAGGAGUGUUCAAUCGUAAAAAAUGAGCUUUGCUUGUCAAGAUGGUUCUCUUAUGAUUUAGUAACUUCCUGAAAUUCUAAGAUGGGCAAUAAAGUUCUCAGAUUGCUUGCUGACUUGUUUGUGAGUAUUGUCAUAAUUUUGAAAAUGAUGAUUUGUUCUUUAUUUUUGACUGGCUUUAAACUAGUUAAACAUGAGCCUGGUGUCAAAUGGAAAAAAAUUUCCAUCUUAAAACUUUUCAAAGUUUUAGGAUGGGGAAUAAUUUUCAUUGAUAUUGCUUGUUACUUGUUUAUUAUAAAUUGUCCUUUUAAACUAGGUAAAAUGGGAUCCUGGUGUUGAAGGGAGCAUCAUAGAAGCAUAUUUACUUGUGGCCUCCCUUGUUUCCAUAUGGAACCUGAAAAUGAAAAUGCUUGAAUAUUUCAUGAGAUUAGGUUGUGUAUCCUUGUGAUUGUAGGGAAGUUGUAUUAUUGAAGAAUUUCCUUAAAAUGAGAUGUUUAUUGAUUUAGAUGUUUUUUGUAAAUUUUUUUAAAAUUUUAUUAUAGUGAUAAAAAAAUUAUUAAUUUUAAUUAGAAAAGUCUUUUUUUUUUUGAGAAAUUAAUAGGUAAUCAUAUAUUGUUUUACUUUGAAAAUUAUCUUUUAUUCAAUGUUCUUUUUUAUUGAUUUAGAUGUUUCUUGUAAAUAUUUUUUAAAAUUUUAUUAUAGUGAUAAAAAAAUUAUUAAUUUUAAACUAAUAUAUAAUAAAAUAAUUUGUUAUAUCAUGAUUGAUAUUUAUUUAUUAAUCCAAUUCUUUUUGUAAACAUUUUUCAAAAUUUUAUUUAAAUCAUAAAAAAGAUUAUUUUUAGUUUUAUAUAUAUAUAUUCUUUUAAGAUAGAUGUUUAUAUAUUUUGUUGUAAUGAAAAGUUUUUUGUUUAUCAUACUAUUUUCUUUUUGUAAUUAAAAUUGUAUGUCCUUUUUGGUAAUUUAUUAAUAUUAAAAGUCUUUUUAUACUUAUACAACAUAUUAUAAAAAAUGCUAUUAGAGUCGUUUUUUAUGAUUCUCAUAAAAGUGUUUUUCACAGAAACACUGCAGAAGGAAACACUUCCAAUAAAAACACUUUCACUAGAAUCACUGCUUACUACAUUUGGAUAAAAAUGUUCUCAUUCUUUUUUUAUAAAAAUAAUAUUUUUUUUAAAACCUACAUGUUAAUACUUGAAAUAGUUAAGGGCGUUUAUGUCAAAAAUAAUUACUCUUCAAGAAAAAACACGGAAGAUGUUAAAUUCACAAAUAUGAUAUUAUUUCAUCCCUUUUAACCAAUUAAUUCAUUUAUUUAUCAAAUUUAUGAAACCUUAAACCUCACCAAACUUAUCAUGGAUUGAAAAUGAGAUUAUUCAUCAAAUUUGUGAUACCCAAAACCUGACUUAAACGUAAUUGAAAUAAUCGUGGAUUGAAAAUCUUUAAAGCGUAUUGUCGAGUUGAAUUUGAGUGACAACAUUUGAUCCAGAGGUUUUUGAUCUGUUGAAAUCAGCCCAAUAGUUCAAAAAUUGGAUGGGCCCAAGCUGACCCCAUUAUCAAUCGACUGGUGCUAAACUUAAUGUGUACUCUGUUUUAGGGCUUGCUGGCCAGUAUCAAUGUCCACAAAUAGCAUUCAAUCAUUUUUCCCCAAACGCUGCGUUUUGGUCGAUCUCUGAGUUAAGGUACUGCUCCAAUCUCUAUUCCCAGUUAAAUCAAUUGACAAUCGUUUGGAUACUGAGAAAAUUCUUCUAGGUUAGAUACAAUCCAUUGGAUGCUGAGAAAAUACUCAGACAAAUGGAAAGAAAAAAAGAAUAGUAAAUUUAUAUUUUUUCUAUUUUUUUUUGUCUUUUGGAUUGUUGGCAGCAAAGAAAGUGAGGGAGAUAACAUAGGAAUCAAAGCGUGUUUUUCUUUUAUUUUUCUUCAUUUUCUUAGUAACCAAGCAGGGGGUUGGAUUUCACUCUAAACGCUUUAUAACUUGGAAAAGCUAUUGCUGAGAGUUCUGAAAUUUAGGGUUUCUCUUUUACAGACGUGGAACUAUUGCAAGUUCAGAUUACAGCUAAUACUGAGUUUUUUUUGUUAAUUUGAUGGUCUUUGCUGUUUGGGAAUACAGAAAAAUGUCAUUUUACUUCAAAACUCACACUGAAUGUUUGUUUAGUUGACUUGGGUUUAUGUUAUUUUUAAUUAUUAUUAUGUAUAACUUUUUCUUGGAAGCAAAAGAUAGAGAUGACAUAAAAAUGAAAAUAUUGUUUUCUUUGUUGCUCUUUUUUCUUGGAACCAAACAUAGGGCUAGGGUUUCUCUUUGAAUGCUUUUAAGUUUUACAAUGCUAUUGUUGGAGGUUUUGAAUCCUAGGUUUCAUUUUGGACUACAACUCAAGCUAGAAUUUUGGAAACACCUUGUGCACUUGUACAUAUAUAAAAAAAAAAAUUGGGUUACAUUGACACUUACUAAGGUGGCAUUUGUUUUUUUAGCUUUUUGUUGAAAGCAAUUUGCUUUCAGAAUUUAAGUUGUUUGUUUUUCUAGUUUUUGAUGACUUAUUAUUGAAUUUUUAAAAUUUUUGGCUAAAUAAAAAAAACUAAAAUAUUUGGCUUUUUCUAAAUAGAAAAAGCAAGCUUUUUAAACUUCCCCCAAAUCACGAUUGCAACCCCGACCCCCAACCCUAGCCCAUCCCAUAUAGCUCUCUAGUCUCAAUUGCAACCACAAUCCCCAACCGUCAUCUCAUCCCUGUGUAGCUCAUUGGUUCCACGACCAUUACCAAGCUUUCUCAAGGUAAUUUCUUCCCCAUUUUCGCUCUCUAUUUAGGUUUCAGCUUUCGUUCUUGCUCUUUCUCAGCAAUGGGGUUAAACCAUAGGUAGAAUUGUUGUUUUCUGUUUGGAAAUGGUUUAUUAAUAUCUUCUCUGGUACGAUUCUUUAUGAUUCUCAUGCCAAUGGUUUAUUUUGGGGUUUUGUGGGGAAUUUUGAUUUUGUGGGAGUGGGUUUGGUGGGUUUACAGGUUCAACGAAUUUUGUAGAGAUGCUCAUGGGUUUGUGGAUGCAUUUGUGUGAUUCGAUUCUGGCUUUGAGGAACCAUUGAUGUUUAGAAAUUUUGCUCCUCUACAGUUCCCAUUACUCUGAUAUGCACUCUCUGUCUUGCAUCUCCAUGUGCUGUUAUGAUUGAAUUUUGAUUCUGAGGAACUGAGUUUUGAUGGGUUUAAUUGUUUAGGAUCUUUUUAUACACUUAUUGCAUCUUCAUGUGCUGUUAUGGUUUGCUUUUGAUAAAAUCACAAUCCAUUUUCUGCCUGCUUGGGCUGUUUUCUGUUGCCCCUGUACUGUGUCAUUCACUUGUCCAAUGAGCAAUGUGAAGCUCUGUCCUCACCAGAUUCUGAUAUUACUGAGCUACCAGGUCUGAUAUUACCGCAUUUGAAGUCCUUACUCCUUAGAGCCUCAAAAAGAGGAAGUUGAGGCUUGUUUGUUUUAAUCUGUAGGAUGUUUUUUUCCUGGUUUCCCUUAGAAACAACUUUAGUGGCUGCUUGGUGAAUCAAGUUUUGCACGAACAUGAAGCCCUAAUAAACAUAUGAAUCAGGUUUUCCACAAACACAAUGGACCUGAGCCCAACACUAUUGAAGUUACACUUUUUCUUCUCAUAGUCAUUGCUGUAAUCGAUUAAGUUGAAAGAAAGCACGACGCUUGGCAACCAUAACGCAUGAUGCUGCACUAUGGAGAUGCUCUGGUGGGGUCCAGUACAUAUAAUCAUGUUCAAUUUGUUGUUUACCUGUAAGAAGCUCUAUAAGGUUUUCUUGGGCACGACCAAAUUUGGGGAAAUCAUAAAGGCAGAAAAGAACUAAUUGUUUUCCAUAUCUUUAAGACAACAAAGGAAGAGAGUGGGACCUUGGUUUUCCAUUAGAAGAACUUUUAUCAGUUUUUAUAUGGGUGUGGGGGUUGGAGGUUGGUGUUAUGUAUCGAAUCAAGACCAGUCAAGGAAUUUCCAAGGCUAGAGGAUACCCAAUACCCAAUUCUGCUUCAAUCAUUUUCUAGUUUGGUCAAGUCUUUAGCCCAUCAAUGGUGAAACUUUUGAUAAAAGGAAACAGAAUCUUUACGAAAAGAAAAUCAGGAAAAGGAACCCUCACAAGCAUUCAGAAUUUGCAUUAGUUGUCAUUGAACACCUUGAAAAUAGUAACUUGAUCUUAAAACCAUUCCAAAUUCAUUUCAGAAAACUGAUCAUGGUACAGGUUGAGUUGGAUUGCUUCUAUGCAUUGUUCAUUUUUUUUUCUUGAGGCCACUGAUGGCUUGUGUUUGACUAAACCACAAGAGGGUUCUAUUAGAACAAUAUAGUAUAGCAAUUGUAUUCAAGACUUCGUUAUGAUUUGUGCACUUAGUCCUCCUUUGCUGCAAACAAUUUUUUAUUCUCUCCUGUCUCCACUACUUACUGAUAUGGACUGAUGUACACGUAUGCUAAAGCACAAAGUGUUGUAAUUUGCUUUGUGCUCUCUCUCAGCCUAGUGCUUUUGGGUUGAUUAAGUGAAUCUUUUGCCUUGCUGGAAGUGGGCUUUUCCUUUUCUUUCUGUGAGCAAUAGGUGUAAUUACACUCUUUCUUAGGAGGGCAUUGAUAAUCAACUGUAAUUUAUAAGACCCAAAGGCACCAAGGAAUGUUGCAAAAGCAGUCAAAAUGCUAGUAAGUACCUAGGUCCUUUGCAAUGGAAAAAGAAAAAAGAAAAAGAUUCCUCCAACGUGUGAAGAAUCCAAAAAGGGUUCCAUCAACUCUUGCUCUCUCUGGGAAAGUUCUUCAAGCUGUGUUGUUAGUGGGGUCUUUCACCAACUUCAGGUGGUGACAACUUGGAGCAUGCUUCCUGUGGCUGCGCCCCAGACAGCUUCAAAUUCAAUACCAAACACAGAGUUGAGGCUUUCCCAUCACCAUUCAGCACUGCUUGUGACAUAUUUCUAAAGAAGCACUGAGCCACCUGGGUUUAAUUUGUAACCAUAUGUUUUUCUCCAAUCACUUCUUCCACUUUCCCACCCUACCAACUACUACAUCCCUUUAGUGGAGCAGAUUCUCCCAGUGACACUAUGAAAAUGUGUUUGAUUUUGUAGAAAGUUUCUGAGCUACCGGGUCUGUUUCUCGUUUUACCUCUCACAACCAGUUAGCUACCAUUUAGUGUUGUUUUCUCAUAAGGUUUCUCACCAACCCCUUAUGCUUCCCACCUUUCCUACCUUCCUCUCUUUGCAUGUCCAUAUUUGGGUGCUUUAGAAAAAUUCAUCUUAAGGGACUUUGGACAGUUUUUAUAAACUGUCUUUAGGUGUUAUUGGCAUAAAGGAGUACCUAGAUCAGUAGCCUAACAUCCACUCAUAGUAUAAAUUUUAUCAUGCCCAAGGUAAAUAGUCAAUUUAGAGGGACUUUCAUCUUAUAUCACAGCCAGAAUGUUAAGAAAACAAGUUAAUGUCAUACCAUGUGUUUUAAAAUCAUAAUAGGGCCAACACAUUUGAAGAUACCUUCUCACUAGAAAGCAAAAGUCCAAAAUGAGUAGAUUGUGCCAGUCUUGCACAAACUCAAUAAAAUAAAUAUUCCAAUAUGUAUAAUUCAAGAUCCUAUAUCCAAAAUUGAACUGGAAGGAGGUCCAGAAAGUUGAAUAUCCACAUCUAUAUAGUGAAACUGAACCUUUUUUCCACUAUCACCAGUUUAAGACUAUAUGCCAAAGUAAGCAUUCGCCGUCACAAACACCAACAAAAGUACUAAAAUAGUUUAAUAAUGUCAGAGGUUAUGGUACACACAAAUUUCAGUUGUUUGCAAGAUUUAUUUAUUUAUUUAUUUUAUCAGAAUUUCUUGCAAGAUUUUGUUACAGAGAAGCAAAAUAAGUUAACAUUAGCACAUAUAGUGAAUCAAUUGAGAGAAUAACCCAAAAUUUUAUAAGAUUCUGCUUAAUUUUGAAAACAACUUCUGGACUUGAUUGCAACUAAGAAAAAUUAUCUGUUGCGUUCAAAUAUUCAUUACUGGAAAAUGGGCACACCAGAUAAAGCCGCAAUGACCAAGCGUAACUGAGACAACGUUCACUCACCACCCAAAAUUCAGGCAAAUUCAAAUUUUCCAGUAUUCUACUUCUGACAUUAUCAGAAUACUCAUUCAAAUUUCAGCGCUAAACAUCCAACAUAAUGAAAAUAUUUUGACUUGAUAGUGAACCCCAGAUUGAUGAGAAGUACAACAAAACCCUAGAAACAUGGAAUUUUUUAAGAAGCAGAACCACAUCAAAGAAACAAAACAUGAAAAAAUGCUUGCAAAUGAACUGAAAUAGAAGAGAAAGGAGCUGAAUUCUGGUGAGCUUCGUGGAGAGCCAGGGAGGAUCCACAUUUCCCAUCUUGCCUUCUAUCCCAGUCCACUAACAUGAUAAGAUAAACAGCAAACACAAUAAUUAGGUUUCCAACAAUAAUUAAAGAAAUCUAAAUUUUUCAAUCCUAAAUAACCCAGACCCAUAAGAGGGGAAAAAACCUCCACUGAGCAAUCAUUAAUAUUCCUCCAUUCGGCUUAAGGUUAACCUUGACAAGAGUAAUAUUUACGGCAUCAAUCUUAAACAGAAUCAUCUUUAUAGGUUGGCCGAGUUGCUUGAUUGCAAGGCUUUUGGUUGGCCUAUACCCUACUUGGGUCUUCCUUUGGGAGGGAAUCCCAAGGCUUGUGGCUUUUGGAAUCCAGUGAUUGAGAGGAUCUCGAGAAGAUUAGAUGGGUGGCAAAAGACUUAUUUAUCUUUUGGAGGUAGGAUAACUCUUAUCCAAUCUUGCCUCACCCACAUGCCUUGCUACUUCCUUUCUUUAUUUAAGAUACCCGCUUCAGUGGUUGCAAAAAUUGAGAGAUUUCAAAGGGAUUUUUUAUGAUCAGGGGUUGGAAAAGGUAAAAGAGAUCAUCUUAUUAGUUGGGAUGUAGUGUGUAAGCCGAAGGCAAAAGGAGGUUUGGGAUUUGGGAAGAUUGCUCUAAGGAAUGUCGCUCUCUUAGGGAAAUGGUUGUGGAGGUACCCUCGGGAGGGUUCAGCUCUAUGGCAUCAAGUUAUUUUAAACAUUUACGGAUCACACUCUUAAUGAUUGGGAUGUCAACACUAUAGUCAGAUGGUCACAUCGUUGUCCUUGCAAGGCUAUUGCACAAGUCUUUCAGGAGUUUUCCAAGUUUACUCGAUUUGUGGUAGGAGAUGGGAAAAAAAUUCGGUUCUGAGAAAACUUGUGGUGGGGGGACCAACCUUUGGGAUCCCAAUAUCCAAGAUUAUUUAGAAUAGUCACGGAUGAAAAUAUUCCUAUUUCUUCAAUUCUCGGUUCUGCUCGUCCCUUCUCUUGGAACUUUAAUUUUCACCGCAACCUAUCUGAUUCUGAGAUAGAAGAUUUAGAAGGCCUUAUGCGGUCACUUGAUUAUCUGCAUUUGUCAUAUUUGGUUUCAGAUACGAGAUCUUGGUCUUUUUCUUCUUCAGGGCUUUUUAUAGUCAAAUCUUUCUUUCUUGCCUUAUCCCAAUGUUCUGGUUCUCUUCUAGUUUUCCCUACUAAGUUCGUUUGGAAUUCUCAAGUCCCUUUCAAAGUCAAGUUCUUUGUCUGAUUGGUGGCACACCAGAAGGUAAAUACUAAUAACUUGCUACAAUUGAGAAGACCCUACAAAGCUCUUAGUCCUAAUAUUUGUAAGUUGUGCAUGAGGCAUGGAGAACCAACAUAUCAUCUUUUCCUACAUUGUUCUUUGACGAUCAAAUUGUGGCAUAGAUUAUUUCAGUUAGCCAAGACGGAUUGGGUUCCCCCGAGGAGCAUUUCCGACAUGUUGUCCAUCAAUUACAAUGGUUUUGAUUUAUCUAAGAGAGGGAUAGUUUUGUGGCAAGUUGCGUGUAUUGCUAUAAUUUGGGUUACGUGACAAGAAAGAAAUGCGAUGAUUUUUUAUGAUAAAGCAAGGAAUUCAGAGAAUCUUUGGGAUUCUAUUCAUUUCCUUGCUCUCUUUGGGCUUUUUGUUCCAAGGUUUUUAAGGGGACUCCCCUUAAUGUGUUACAACUUGAUUGGCUAGCGGCGUGUAAUUCCUUUGGAUUGGUCUAGUCUAGAGAGUUUGUUCGUUAUUACAUUGUAUUUUCUUGUUUUCGUAUUCUUGUAGUUUAGUUUUCUUUGGUGGGAGGAUCCUUAUCUUUCUCUUGUACUUCUUUUUUCUAUCAAUAUAUUCUUUUUUCGUUUCCUAUCAAAAAUAAAUAAAUAUUCCUCCAUUCAGAGGGAACUGGAAAUUAAAAUGAAUACAGUGAAGAUUCAUGAAGAAUAAAUUCAUAUGGAACGAAUACCAGAAAAAGAUGCGACAAAAGUCUACCGUUGUAGAAACAAAAACAAAACUACAUCCACAUACAACAGUAUGAACACACCUCAUUGUGAUCUUCCUCGUCUUUUUGAAAUGAGAACCCAGAAAAAGGCGGAUAGUGUGCACCGUAGUGCUUAGGCUUUUUGAGGAAGAGGUUUCUAUGUUUCAAGGACUAGUUUCCAAACCCUCCCUUUUUUCCUUCCUUUCUUUUAAUCCUUUAUUAUGUUUGAUUUUAAGGUAUUAGGCAAAAAAAUAUGUUAAAAGAAAAUGAUUUUUACCAUUAAAAACAAUGCAAAAGAAAAUCAACUAAAAGAAAUUAUUAAAAAAAUUAUAUAUUUUUAAAAUUAUUUUAUCUUUUAGUCAAAUAAGUGAAAAAAAGUUUGAAAUAGUAUAUAAAAAUAUUAUUUUUGCAAACUGUUUCUUUGAUGAUUUGCUACAACAUUGGAGGUUUCUACAAUUGUGUUUUGACUUUUGAUCUUGUGGAGGAACCAUGGUGGUAAGUUAUUCAAAUUUUUUGAGAGACUUUGAAGUGGUGGCAGAUUUCUGUUUUAGGGUUAUUGGGAAAUCUGAUGUAUGUUUCAGGUCCCCAAAAAUUUCAUCUAGUGGUAGCAAAGAAAGUUUGGUGGAAUAUUUUGGAAACUUGAUGAGCUGAAUUUUGUGUAUGGAAAUUUUAUGGAAUUUCAGGAGAAUUUUUAAAACACUUUGAAGUGGUGGCACUAGAUUUUUGCUGGUAUUCACAUGAAAUUCGAAUGUUCUGAUAAGCUCUUUAACUUUAAGAUCUAGCAUUUAUGAUUCUUGAAAUAUUUAGUUUUUAAUAAAAUUGUUGACAAAAAAGAACAAGAAUGAUGUGAAAAAUCAUAAAUAUGUUUACUUGGAAUAUUUUAAGAUUUUCUGAAUGCUAUAAUUCUCGUGUUAGUUAACUGUUAAGUGUAAUACAGUUUAAUGAAAUAUCAAAACCUUUGGGACUAAUAUCCAACAAGAUACCUGAAUUUCUUUUUCAAAAUCUAUAUGUGAUUAUAAAAUAAUGAAAAAGAAAAUUACAAAAAAAAAAUUAUAAGAAUGCCAAUAGAAAGAUGGAGCUAUGCUGAAAAUGGGGAAAAGAAGGAAAUCUUGAGCAUGAUCAGGGCCAUCCGUGCAUUAAUAUAAGAAAUUAGAAGAAUACCACUAGAGAGAGAGAGAGAGAGAGCCAUGAAAAUUGACUGGUGAUCAGGCUUAUCCAUCUUUCAGUUAAAUCAAUUAUAUUCACAUUAAAGAAAAGGGUAACGGGAAAAGGGAAAAGGGAAAAGGGGUUCCUCUCCUAUCCCUCUUUCCUUCAUAACAAAAAUAUUUGUAGUCAAAUAAAAUCAUUGGCAUCAAUCUCUGACGAGAUAUUUAAUUUGGGUGAGUAGGAUUAUGUUUGGUUACUGAUUAAAUGAAAGGUUUAUUCCUGUAUUCUCUCAGUUUCCUUAACUUUCUCAGAAGCUAAACAGAGCAGUAUUCAUUUUUAUUUUGUUAAAAUUUGAUGAUCAGGUCAGUAACAAUAUUAUAUCGUCAGAAUAGAAGGUUAGGGCUUCAGUAGCGAGAUGAAGCCAGUGGUGGGGAUGGUGGUGUCAAACAAGAUGCAGAAAUCAGUAGUGGUGGCAGUGGACCGUCUCUUCCACAACAAGCUCUUCAACCGCUAUGUCAAACGAACCAGCAAGUUCAUGGCUCAUGACGAACACAACCUCUGCAACAUUGGUGACCGAGUCAGUUGUUAAAGCAAUGGGUUCCUUCCUUUCUCCACUUCCGUUUUUUCAUAAUGGAUAAAAUAACUUGUGAAACAACACUGUCAUUCCAGGUUAGGUUGGAUCCUUCUAGGCCCUUGAGCAAGCACAAGCAUUGGGUUGUUGCAGAAAUUCUGAAGAAAGCACGAAUCUAUGUGCCACCUGAACCUAUUACCAAGACUCAUGAUCUAGCACCACCUUCAUCAUCUUAAGGUUUGACUUCUGCUAAUGUUACUCCUUUUUCUGGAAUAUAAUGUUAUAUGUGUAAAGUGUGUUCUACCGUGACUUAAUCAUUCCUUUCACCCUGCUGAUGAUCUGGGUUUUCUAACUUUACAUGACAAAAAUAGGUGACAAGCAUGCAUGAUUUAAGACAAAUCUAAACCUUUCAGUUGUUCGCAUAAUUGUAACAUUAAUUGGGGAUACAUACCAAGAAACUUAUUAACGGCAAGCUGAUACGGUGUUGAUUUCUGUUAUGCCAAUUCACAUUUCUUGUUGUUUUCUUUUAUUUAUUUUUGGUAGAUGAAAUACAUAAUAAUUCAAAUACUACCAUACUUGCUAGUAUUAGACCACACAGGAAUAGGAAGGGGGAAGGAAAAGGGAAAGCCUUUGACAGGGAGGGAGGGAGGACCAACGGACCAACAAGUUUAUUUUUUUGGACCUAUAUCCUAUAUGAGCUUUAAAACCUAGAUUAGAAAGAAGAUGAAAAAUGGAAGACAUACCUGAUUUAUGAUCUAUGAAAUGAUGCUUAAGUUUUGGGGUGGAUUAGAUACAUCAAAUAAGGUGUACCUUAUGGGGCAUGGGUAGAAUGCUCAAGUUUAGUUAGGUUUGUCCAUCAUGAAUAUCGCGCUUGUUAAGUAUAGUGAGAAUUUUAUUUCCAUGGGCCGUGGUAGUGUAAAGUCUUUGGAUAAGGCAUGCUUCAAGAGAAAGCUCAGACCAAAACUCAAAGUUCUUAGUGACAUGUAGAAUCUAGUUUAGAGGUUGAUGAGACUAAAGAGUUGGUAUGAAGAUCAUUACUUGGAAUAUCUGAGGAUUGGACUCUAGAAAGAAAAGAAGGGUUGUUCAAGAUUUCCUUGGUCAUGAAUCUCUAGACCUUGUAAUGCUUCAAGAAACAGAAAGAGAGAUGUGUGAUAGGAGAUUCAUGGGAAGUGUGUGACCAUCUAGGGACAAGGAGUGGGCUUAUCUUUCAACAUGUGGGACAUUGAGAGGGAGUUUGAUUAUUUGAGACUCAAAUAAGUAUAUUUGCACAAAGGUGGAAGUAGGAUCCUUUUUAGUUAUGGUCAAAUUGUUUUUAGACAUAGUUGGGAUUUUCUAGCUCACUUUAGUGUAUGGACCCAAGUUUUCCUCCCUUAGAAAGGAUUUUUGGAUGGAGCUUCUAAAUCUUUUUGGUUUAACCUUUAUGAAAUGGUGUGUGGGAGGGGAUUUUAAUGUUAUAAGAGGAAUUUCAAAGAAGUUAGGGGUUUCUAGAUUAACCCUUAGUAUGAGGGAAUGCUUCGUUUACUUGGCCAAACAUGCAAGGAUCCCUUGUAUGCAAAAGAUUGGGUUGAUUUGUGUUUUCAAAUGAGUGGUAGCAAAGCUUCCCACAAAGUCUCCAAGAAGUUCUCCCUUGGUUCCCUUGGUUGGCCAUUGAUCAUUGCCCGAUUGUUCUGGAUGCCAGCCCUUUGAAGUGGGUUCUAACCCAUUUUAGGUUUGAACAUAUGUGGUUGCUCUGCCCAAACUUGAAGGAAAAAUUUAGCUUUUGGUCGAGGGUUUCAAAGUGAAGGGUAGGAAGCACAUAAAUACAUGAAGAGGCUUCAAUUUGUUAAAUCAAAACUGAAAGAAUGGAAUAAGGUGUCUUUUGAAGAUAUAAAAGGGAGGAAGAAGAAUAUUCUUGAAGAUAUUGUUGGAAUUGGAGGAGCUAUUGCUACAGGAUGAGAUGCAUUGGAGUCAAAAGUGGUAGGUUGAGAUGGGUAAAAGAAUCAGAUGGUAACUCUUAAGUAUUUUCAUAAGGUGGCCAAUGGAAGGAGGAAUAGGAAGUUCAUCAAGACCUUGGUGAAUGAAGAAGGGACAGCUCUAGAUAAUUUUGAAAGCAUUUUAGAGGAGAUUGUGCAUUUUUAUUUUUUUUUAUUUUUUUGAAAAGUUAUACUCUAGGCCCUUUGGAAAUUUGUGGAGGUUAGAAGGCUUGGAUUUCCCCUAAUCUUGGCAAAAAGUGGUAAUUGGCUAUACCAUCUCCUCUUUAUGUAAGAGGAGAUUUACAAAGUUGUUUUCAAUUAGAUAGGGAAAAAGCUCCCGGGUUUAAUGGCUUCACUUUUGCAGUGUUUUAGGAAUGUUGGGAUGUUCAAGGAUGACUUAGUACAGGUGUUCUUGGAGUUUUAUAAUAAUGGGGUAAUAAACAAAGCACCAACGCUACCUUAAUUGACCUUUUGCUAAAAAAUAGUCGGGCUAACAAAAUCUUGGAUUUUAGACUCAUUAGCUUAGUCACUAGUUUGUAUAAGAUCAUAGCUAAAGUGUUAGAAGGUGGUUUCAAGGCGUCCUUCAUGAAACCAUCCACACAACCCAAGGAGUCUUUGUUGAGGGGAGGCAAAUUAUGAAAUGGUAGAUGAGAAAAAUAGCUUAGGAGAGGAAGGAGUAGUUUUCAAAAUUGAUUUUGAAAAGACUUAAGAUCAUGCGGAAUGAGGUUGUUUGGGAUCAUGUACUAAAAAAGAAGGGAUUUAGUACAAGAUGGAGGUCUUAGAUGAGGGGUUGCUCAUCUACAACAAAUUUUAUGGUCUUAGUGAAUGGAAGUGCUAAAGGUUGUUUUAAUGUAACUAGGGGAUUAGGACAAAGAAAUCCUCUUUCCCUUUUCCUUUUCACUAUAACAAUGGAUGUUUUAAGCAGGUUGAUGUCAAGAGCAAAGGAGACUACUUUGUUGGAAGGCUUUGUAGUGGUGGGUAGAGUAGCAUUAGAAUUUCUCAUUUGCAAUUUGCAGGCGACACCAUCUUUUUUUCGAGAGCCUAUAUGGAAGAGUUGCAUAAUCUUAAUAUAAUCUUGUUGGUUUUUGGGCAGAUUUCUAGUCUUAAGAUUAAUUUAAACAAAAGCACUCUAUCAGGUAUCAACAUGAAUGAGGAUCAAAAUCUCUAUGUUGGCAUUAGCCUUUAUCGUACUUAGGCCUUCUAUUAGGUGGGAAUCCAAAGACCAUCACUUUUUGGGAUUUAGUGAUUGGUAGAAUCUCAUGAAGACUAGAUGAGUGGGAAAAGGCUUUUUUGUCAUUAAGUGAAAGAAUAACUCUAAUUUAGUCCUAGUUGUCUUUCAUUCCUAGCUAUUUUCUCUCUUUUCAAGAUUCCAUUUUCAAAUGAGUCUAAGAUUGAGAAAUUACAAAGGAACUUUCUUUGGUCAGGGGUGGGUGAGUGUAAGAUAGAUCACCUCAUUAACUAGGAGCUAGUAUGCAAGCCAAAUAUGGAAGGGGGUUUGGGGUUUGGGCUUUAGGCUUUAGGAUGAUUUUCUUUGAGGAAUUGAACUCUUUUAGGGAAGCGGCUUUGGAAGUUUCCAAACAAAAGUUCUACUUUUGCCACUAGGUUAUUUCAACGGAUGGGACACUGAUAUUUUGGUCAGGUAGUCACAUUGAUCUCCUUGGAAAGCUAUUGUAUUGGUUUUUCAAGAUUUUUCCAUAUUUACUCAUUUUAUGAUGGCAAGAAUGUCUUUGGGAAGAUUUGUGGUGGGGAGACCAACCAUUAUGCUCUCAGUUUAGUCAACUUUUCAAAGUUGUUGCAAUUAGAAAUCUUCCUAUCUCAACUAUCCUUGGUUCCUUUCCCCCUUUUCCUUGGAAUCUAAUUCUUUGCCACCACCUUAAUGACUUGGAGAUUGAGGAUCUUGAAAGUCUAAUGUCUUGUCUCACUCGUAUACACUUGUCAUCAUUUGUUCUAGACAUAAUAGCUUGGUCAUUGUCUUUCACUAGUUUAUUUUCGAUAAAGUCUUUUUAAUUAGCUUUUGUCCAAUCCUUCAGACACAAUUCCUUUCUUUGCAAUUAAUUUUAUAUGGAAAUCUAAAGUCCCUUCUAAGGCCAAAGCCUUUGCGUGGUUAAUGACACAUAAGAAGGUGAACAUGAAUGACAUGCCACAAUUAGGAAGACCUUACAAAACCCUUAAGCCCUGAAUGGUGCAUUUUGUGCUCUAGGAGUAGAGAAACAGACAGCCAUCUUCUUUGAUAUUCCUUGGUGACUCUCAGCCUAUGGAAAAGGCUAUUCAGAUUAGCUAGUUUGGAUUGCAUUCCUCCUUGGAACAUUUAUGAUAUGAUGACCAUCUCAUGUAGGGUUUUGAGGAGCUCCAUUUGAGGCAAAGCCUUGUGGCAAAUAACUUGUCUUUUGUUGAUAUGGCUUGUGUGGAGGGAAAGAAAUACUAGGAUUUCCAAAGACGAGUGGAGGAAUCCAAAGACAAUUUGAGGUCUAAUUCAUUUCUAUUUAUCUUUUUCGGCCUCCUAUAUCAUGGCAUUCAAGGGCAUUCCUCUCAGUGUUAUUCAGCUCGACUGACAUUCAGUGUGUAGGCCAUGAGGGUUUGAAUAAUGAGAAGAGGAGAUUCGUAAUGAUCCUAUCUGAUUGAGAUUUUGUAUUGCCUCAUGGUGAUUAAGAUGUUUAAAACCUCAUUUGAUUGAAAGGUUUUAUACUGUGUUUUCUCUUUUGUUUCCCUUUUGUAAAUCUUGGAAGGAUACCUUAUCCUUCUCAUGUAUUCACUUUGUUCAUUCUAAUACAUUCUUGUUUCUGAUUGACAAAAAAAAAAGAACAAAAACAAAGGAAUACUUCAGAUAUGGGGCUAAGAAGAGACUUUGCAGAGCACAAUCCCUUGUUAAAGCCUUUAAAUUGUGGUCUUGGACUGUCCUAGAGACCCAAGACAGGCUCUCAAUAUAUCUUUUUAAGAUGGCAUAAAAUGUUUUGAUCAAAACAGCCUGAAUGAACUGAACUCUAUAAUUUUGUUCAAUUGUUCUCAUAAAUAAUAUUGCAUGUAACAUGGUCAUACUCAACUUCUGACAUAACUGGUUGCUUGGCUCAGUGGAAUUUAGCUGCCUCCUUUUUAGGGGAAUUAUGGGUAUCAAUUCAUUGAGUCCCUCUAGAAUCUUAUUGGGUAGGGUGAGAUGAUAGCCUGAAUUAAGCUCUUAUACACAAGUUUUGAAAAGGAAGUAAUGAGGGAAUCUGAACUUUGGGAUCUAAAGCUGGUAGAUGAGAUCUGGUGCAACAAGCCAUCUCUCAAACAAUCAAGUGGAAAGCACAAAUAUCUAUUACCCAGUCCUCAAGAUACUUUUGUAGACUUAAGUUCUACUGCAAGACACAAUAGUCCAAUAAAGUUAAUGGAUGAUAGAUAUACUAGCUUGUUUCUAAAAAAAGCCAGCUAUUCAUAUGAACACUGCAUACUCUGCUUCAUUUUUUUUCUUACAACACCCCACUACCCCCACCCCACUUGUUAGUUAUGAAAAUUAAUUCCUGGGUGGCAAGAUUGCACAUUUAGUAAGGGGUCUUGUGCUGAUAGUCGAGAAAUAUAGGGCCUUUUGAAAGUUUCCUUUUGAUAAAAGGUUUAAGAUCUUGGAUGAGUAGCAACUGGUCUAAGAUGCCUUGGUUUGGUGUUCUAUAAUAAAAGUGCCAUAGUUGAGUAAUUUGGCUAAAUUUCUGGCAAUACUUAAAAUAACUUGAUAACAAUCAGCUGACAAUAGUCAGUUAGUAAAUUGACUAAGGAAGGCUUCUUAAUCAAAUCUUAUUCACCAUUAUGCCAAAGUUCCUUCAAACUUUAUCUAGAACAGUGUUUUUUUUAUAUUUAAAUUUAAACGUAAAUUUUUUUUUUUCAAAUCCAUAUAUCUGAAAAUCUGUGAAUGAUGAGCUAGAAGUUUAACAAUCCUCUGCUCUUUUUGCUGUGGUGAUUUUUUUAAAUGUUUUUAUUCAUGAAAUUCUAUUUGGUAAUGUCUUUUAAUUGGUAAGUUCAGUUUGUUCUUAAUAAGAAAACAAUCUGAAAAAAAAAAAUUUUAACUACUGGAAAAGAUUCUUGGUGCAUGUUUCAAUUGAAACCACGCCUUUUUGUUCAUGGAAAAUCUCUUAUCAAACUAUGGGCUCUGCUGAUGUGGAUAGCAUCAUUAGUGGUAAAAAAAAGGAAAGAAAGCUUGUUGCAUUCAUCAUUUAUUUGGUUGCAUCAACUCAUCAUUGUUGAUUGGACGGCCAUUAUUUAAUCUGUAGCACGAAGUGGUUGAACAAUAUAUAUAAAAAAAAAAAGAAGAAGAAGAAGAAGAAAUUAUUCAAAUAUUUUAAUUGGAUGAUGAAGUUUUGCCUUGAAUUUCUGUUGGGUACUGUAGAUCCAUGGCGAAAUGUUUUUUAUAAAUGUUCCGGAAAUGAAUCAGAAAGUAGGGUCUUACAUUGCAUAUUGCAUUUGGAAUUCAUUAUUGUAGAUCUGAAACUGUUGCAAUAUUUUUUUCUUGUAUUUUCUCUUGUGCAAUGCUUGUAAUUUGCAAUCAUAGAAUGACAUGCAUACUUGGGAAUUUUUUUAGAGAUACGGUUUAUUGUGGUACAGCACAAAGGUGGUAAGUUGGUAACUGCUGAAAUUGCUGCAAAAUUUAUACAAAGGUGGUUUAAUCCUAAGCAGGUGGUCACUUGCUUCUAUCAUCUGAGACUAAAUUGUAAAUAUGCUGUUUUUCUUCUUUUGGCCAGUUGAAGCAUAACUUGGAGCACAUUCAAAAGGCUGUGAAGAUGGGCCUAGGCAUCAGCUUCAGAGAACUGAUGACAGCAUUGCCAAACCACAAGAGCCCUUUUUGUGUUUUGUUUGAAUUGUUGUUUGCCUCCAAGCAAGUGAAUAUUUUGUAGAUUUUACCUAUUUGAAAUUAGGGAUUUAUUUAUAUCAACCUUAUUGACCAGAUUUUAGGAAAAUUCUUUCAAAUACUUUGUCAUUACUAAGUAAAAUCUAUCCAAAACCAAUUAAACCCUGGAAGCCCUAGAAGCUCUCUGUUCCCAUUUGAUGUCUUGAAGAUCUUCUUGGAAAAGGAGGAAGAAGUCAUUUUUAGAAAAAUAAAAAUAAAAAGAAAAAGUUGUCAAAUUUAUCCUUUUGUUCUUUAUAUCUAUGGGGGUGUGGUUUCCAUCUUUUUCUUAUCUUUGUUUUGAACUUGGUUCAGUGCUUCUUCCUGUGUUCUUUUCAAUGAGAAAUGAAUGCAGAGAAAAUGAAGUAAAAUGAAAAUUCUGGAAACAUAAUAUGCUCAACUUUGCAACUAUUCCAUUCAGAUUUGUAGGGUCCUUCACCCACCCAAUCUUCUGGUGUUUAUAGAUAUUAUAUGCUCUUCUAGAUUCACUUAAAUCUAGAUAUUGUCUAUUGAGAAAUAAAUCUGAUGCUUUACAACCUUUAUUUAAUUUCAAAAAUCAGGUUGAACUAUUGUUAGGAUGUAAGAUUAAAAAUAUAGGUUAUAUUUUAAAUCUAUUACUCUUAUUGUUUACAUAAUAUUAAUACUUCUUUGAUAGGAAAGAUAUUAAUAAAUUAAUAAUAAAUACAUAUUUAUGCAUCUUUUUAUAAUAUAUAAAUUAAUAUUAAAUUCAUAUUCAUAUAUCUUUGAAAUAAUUAAAAAAAAUAUAGGUUCUAUUUUAAAUUUAUUAAUCUUAUUGUUUACAUAAUAUUAAUAUUUCAAUAAUAAAUACUUAUUCACAUAUCUUUGAUAAUAAAUAAAUUAAUAAUGAAGUCCUCAACCAAAUGAGUAUUUUACAAAGAGUCGAUAAGGAAUUUCAUUAAUAACCGGCCAUUUUGAUCCUUUGUAACAACUCGAUGAAUUUAGUAGAUUUUUUUAGGAGGCUCCAAUGACCAUAGAUCGAACCUAUCCGAUUUUUAUAGUGCAAUGGUUGGUUGUUCACGGACUAGUUGUACCUACCAUUUCUUUUUUGGGGUUAAGAUCAAUAAUAUAGUUCAUCUAACGAUAAACUUAAUCCAAAUUAUAGAGCUAUGGUAUAAUCAAACCCGAAUAAACAAAAUGUUGAAUUGAAUUGUAUUGGUCUUUAUUGAGGGUUAUUACUCAUUUUUGUACUUAUCGUUAUAUUUUUUGAAUUAUUUUUUCAAUUAAGAACUAAGAGAACAAAAGAGACUAAUAAAAUAAAUAAUAAUAGUAGGAAUUCUUUUAUCCCAUUAGAAAGGAUCUCAUCCCAUAAUUAUGUAUGACUAUUUAUGUCUUUAGCAUGCCCACUUAAUGUAAUGUGGAGGGAAGUGAUAUUGAUUUAAAUCAUUUUUUAAGAUAUUUAAUUAAAUUUUAUUAUACAAGUGAUAUGUUAACAAAUGUAAAUAAAACAAUUAAGGUAUUGUUGGGAUAUAUUUCAAUAGACCUUUUUUUUUUUCAAACAAAAUGCUAUUAGUUUUUUUAUUUGCUUUUAUUAAGGAGUUGGGGAGCAUUUCAUUGGAAGUGGGGGACAUCUCCCAUGAAGCUCCAUGCAUGGACGUGUGGCGGACAUCAGCAGCUUGCCUAUGGUGGUGGUUGAUGAGAGAGACAUCUCUAAGCAAGAGAUGAUGGAUGGAGACUUGUUGAACCAGGAACAAUGGAGCAGGUAGGAGAAAGUGGUACCAGCUUGGAAAGAAAGCGGGGUGGGGAAAAUGGGGGUUCUUUAGGGUGAGAUAUGGAGGAAACGAAAGAAAAAGGACUUUUGGCAAAGUUGAAGGAAGCCAGGAGAAAAAGGGAAGCAGAAGCCAAACAAACUACUAUUGGAGGAAUGCAUUACCUGGUAUGGAUUAUUAAUGAUCAUCACAUUCUCUUAUUACUUCUUCAUGUGAUUAUUUUGCAUUGUUCGUGAGGUCGCAUUGGUUGGUCAUGGCGGUUAGAUUCUGUUUCUCUGACUCCAUUUUGGAAUAAUCUAAUUAUGCUUUGUUUGGUCAUUUCAUAUUUAAAAAAAAAAAAAAAAACCUUCUUGCAUCAUCUUUUUUUUUUCUUAAGAUAUUUUCCUAGUUCAAUCUACCGACCUUUAAAUCCAAAUAUAAAGAGAAAUGAAUCUGGUCUCUUCAUAUUUAUUGGGUGUUUGGUCUAUGUUCAUUCUCUUUUAAAGCUCUAUUUCAUUGUAUCCUCUAUUUCUCUCUAUUCUGUACAUGGGUGUUCCAAUCCGGGUCUCUAUUUUGGCUUCCGUACUUGAGUUUCUUUCUAUGAAUGGAAACCCGAAAAUAUAGAUUGGCUUCUUGUAACUGAUAAAACAACUGGAGUCCACUAUCAACUUGAAGGAAGCAGGGGUGUUAAUUGGGUUGGGAUCAUGGAUGCUCUGUUUUUUGGAACCUUUAGCUCUCUGCUCCUGGUCUUCCAAUCCUCUCUUAGUUUCAUUAUUUUUUAAGGUAAUGACUGGCGCACUCUGCUGCUUAUUUUAUAGCUUUAGUGGUUUGCUUGUUUGUUCUUGGCUGUCAUCAAUACUAGCAAUGGAAAAGAGAAUAGUAUUGGUUUUGUUUCUUACGAAUUUGGAGGCGAUCAAAAGGGUUUAGUGAAGAGGAGGUUGUGAAGGAGUAUUUCAACAACUCGGGGUUUCAGAGGUGGAAGAAGAUCUAUGGAGAAACCGACAAUGUGAACAAGGUUCAAUUGGAUAUUCGGCUAGGCCACUCCAAGACUGUGGAAAAUAUGAUGAAGACGUUGACCGACGAAGGGUGGCUGGAAGGGGUUACUGUAUGUGACGCUAGGUGUGGCACGGGCUGUCUCUCUUUUCCUUUGGCCAAACAGGGUGCCCUUGUGACGACCAAUGACAUCACUGGCUGCACUGGUUAUAAGACUUUUAAGGGUUUUGAUGGUGGUGAUGGACAAAGGGUAUGGAAAAUGGGUUAUAGCAGUGCAUGGAGCUGGUUGAUAGAAAAUAGGUUUAUUGCCACUGUACUGGAGACGUGUAAUUCGUACACGGGAAUUACAACAACCCUUUUUUUUCUUUUCUUUUUAUUAUUUCUUCACACUUGGAUAUCAAAAUAAUUUUCUAACAUUCUAAUUUUUGAAACCUAAUUUCCCGAAAUUCCAUUCUCAAAAUAAUUUUCAUCCAUAUGCUGAUCUGGGAUGACACAGAGUCGGAGCCCAAGUGUCAGAUGGGAUUUAUGAGAUGGGCGGAGUGACUUUGGGACCUCGGAUGCCUACUCCAUUCAAACUAGUUCCCGAGGCGACAUAAGUACAGAUAACCAUUGUUGAGCCACUGACAUUUCCACAUUAUAGUGUUCAAACACCAUUUGUCUUGAUCCCGGAUGUUGAGGAGGUUUAGACUCUGUAUAUUGAUGCUUCUUAGACUCCUGAUGUGCAGUAUAUUCUCCGAGGGGGUAGAGUAUUGCGACAGCCGUCUCCCACAACUACUAGACCUUUAGAGAGGACAUUUGCUCCCGAGGAGGUCCGGAGAGAGGAUGACGAGAUUUUGAGGCAGUUAUAGAGCACUCAGGCUCGCAUUUCUAUCUGGAGCUUGUUGGCAUCUUCUAGUACUCACCGAGAUGCAUUGAUUCAAGCCUUGAGCCAGAUCAGAGUCGAGAAUACCACCACUCCUGAGGGAUUGAUUCAUAUGGUGACGACUAGCAGAACCACGUGCAUAGUAUUCUCUGAUGACGACUUGCCACCCGAUGGUCCAGACCAUACACGUCCACUGUAUAUCUCAGUCGGUUGUUCAGGCCGCCAAGUUCCAUCUGUCCUUUUGGACAAUGGCUCGGCCCUAAACGUCUGUCUCCUAGCUACUGCCAUCGCCCUCGGCUAUGCGCCCUCUGACUUUAGUCUCUCCACUUAGAUAGUCCAAGCGUAUAAUAGCACCAAGAGGAAAGUUAUGAGCACAUUGGAGAUUGAGUUGUUGAUAGGUCCGACCACAUUUACCACUUUGUUCCAGGUUUUGAGGAUUCCUACAUCCUUUAACCUGCUACUUGGUCGACCUUGGAUCCACAGAGCCGGGGCUAUUCCUUCUUCCCUUCAUCAGAAGGUGAAGUUCAUUCACGAUGGCCAGGUCAUCACAGUGCAGUCUGUUGGAGAUAUGUUUAUUUCUUUUGAGUCAGUUCUUUAGAUUAGUCACAGUGAUGACGACUUACUUCUGACUGGAUUCACAUUUGACAAAGUACAGACCCUAGAGAUGGAGGAUUUUUGUCGAGACUUUGUAGCCAUGUCGUUCAACCAGCACGGUAGCACAGUGGAUCAGAACAGGUGAUUGUUGAGAUUCGUGCAAGAACAUACACUUUGCUCGAUAUGAUGAGGAGCAUGUCUUAUCUUUCCUGCAUGGGAUUGGGGCUGCGUCAGCACGGGCCUAGUGAGUUCAUGACUAUCCCAGAUCACGACGUACCAUUCGGACUCGGGUUCAUCCCCACUGAGGCCGAUUAUAGAUAUAUGGCGCAAUUGCGCAAGGAGCGGGUGGGGGGUCGACUGACUCUACAUCGUUUGAUUAUCCUAUUCGUCCGUACACCAUGAGCUUGGCAAAUUACUUCAUGAGGGCGUCGGGGCCACAGAUGCCUUCAGAUGGGAUCAUUAAGGGGCUCAGCACUGUUCGAGAGGUCAAGCUUCAGCAUCUUGUCCAUCAGCUGUAGUUGAGUGAUGGAGCUUCGGACACUUCCACAUUUGCAUUGGCUGCCCCAUCAUCUCUAAAUCGCGUGAGCCUUAUGACGCUCUAUUUCCCAGAUGAGAUCGACGAGCAUGGGACAUUUGCCGAGAUCAGAGACAUAGUGGACGAAGGUAUGCCACGUGACGAGUACGUUAACAAGAUGCUUGCUAUGAGUAUGUGCCAGAUCGAGAAGAUAGUUAAGCCUGAGCUUGCUUCACCAUUUGAUCUAUUUGGGGUGUCCGUCAUCGAGAUUGCUAAGGAAAUCCAUACUACUCCUACUUUGGAGUUUGCAGAUGAUGUUAUAGUAGUUGAUGACUUAUAUGAUGGCCAUGUUGUCCUAGUUGAGAGAGCGUCCGACUUUGUGGACCUACCUCUUUCAUUUGAUGUUUUAUCGGGAUUUGUCUUCCGUUUUGACGAUGUUUAUGACUUCAUUUAUGGAUUUGAGCAUUUUCGAGUAUAUUCCUAUCUCUUGUGAUAUCACUUCAUCUGCACCAUCUUCACCCACAUCAUAGAUAUUUGAUAUAGAUGAUGAGAUUGCACAACAAAAAUUCGAAUAUUCACGUUCAUUUCUUUAAUUAUUUAUUUUCGUUAUUGUUAUUCUAUUUAUUUAUUUUAAAAUUCCAUUUUUAAACAAAUUUUCAAAAUUCCGACCUUCGAAUUUAAUUUCGUAUUUCAAAAAUUCUAAUAUUCACGUUCAUUUCUUUAAUUAUUUAUUUUGGUUAUUAUUACUAUAUUUAUUUAUUCAUUUAUUUAUUUCAAAAUUCCUUCUUUAAAUAAUUUUUCAAAAUCCUGACUUUCGAAUUUAAUUUCCCAUUUCAAAAAUUAUAAUAUUCACGUUCAUUUCUUUAAUUAUUUAUUUUUUGUUAUUAUUAUUCUAUUUAUUUAUUCAUUUAUUUAUUUUAAAAUUUCAUCUUUAAACAAUUUUUCAAAUUCCGACCUCCGAAUUUAAUUUCCCGUUUCAAAAAUUCUAAUAUUCACGUUCAUUUCUUUGAUAAUUUAUUUUCGUUAUUAUUAUUCUAUUUAUUUAUUCAUUUAAUUAUUUUAAAAUUUCAUCUUUAAACAACUUUUCAAAAUCCCUACUUCCGAAUUUAAUUUCCCAUUUCAAAAAUUCUAAUAUUCAUGUUCAUUUAUUUAAUUAUUUAUUUUCGUUAUUAUUAUUCUAUUUAUUUAUUUAUUUUAAAAUUCCAUCUUUAAACAAAUUUUCAAAAUUCCGACCUUCGAAUUUAAUUUUCCAUUUUAAAAAUUCUAAUAUACACGUUCAUUUAUUUGAUCAUUUAUUGUUGUUAUUAUUAUUCUAUUUAUUAAUUAAUUCAUUUAUUUUAGAAUUCCAUCUUUAAACAAUUUUUCAAAAUCCCGACUUCCGAAUUUAAUUUUCAAUUUCAAAAAUUCUAAUAUUCACGUUCAUUUCUUUAAUUAUUUAUUUUUGUUAUUAUUAUUCUAUUUAUUUAUUCAUUUAUUUAUUUUAAAAUUCUAUCUUUAAACAAUUUUUCAAAAUUCCGAUCUUCGAAUUUAAUUUCAAAUUUCUAAAAUUUCAAUUUUCGCAUUUAUUUAUUUAAUCAUUAUUAUUUUCGUUAUUAUUAUUUUAUUUAUUUAUUUAUUUUAAAAUUUCCACCUUUAAAUAAUUCUUUAAAAUCCCGAUUUCCAAAUUUAAUUCCCAAUUUCCCAAAUUUUAAUUUUCCAAUUUUCGAAUUUUCAAAAUCCUAAUUUUCACAUUUAUUUAUUUAAUCAUUAUUAUUUUUGUUAUUAUUAUUAUUUUAUUUAUUUAUUUAUUUAUUUAAAUUCCCAUCUUUAAACAAAUCUUCAAAAUUCUGAUUUUCAAAUGUAAUUUCCAAAAUUACAAUUUUCACAUUUAUUUAUUUAAUCAUUAUUAUUUUCGCUAUUAUGAUUUUAUUUAUUUAUUUAUUUUUAAAUUCCAUCUUUAAAUAAUUCUUUAACAUUCUGAUUUCCAAAUUUGAUUCCCAAUUUCCAAAAUUUUAAUUUUCACAUUUAUUUAUUUAAUCAUUAUUAUUUUCGUUAUUAUUAUUAUUCUAUUUAUUUAUUUAUUUUUAAAAUUCUAUAUUUAAAUAAUUCUUUGAAAUUCCAAUUUCCUAAUUUAAUUUCCAAUUUCCAAAAUUCCAAUUUUCACAUUUGUUUAUUAUUAUCAUUAUCAUUGUUUUAUUUAUUUUAAAAAUUCCAUCUUCAAGUAAUUUCUAAGAUUCCAAUUUUUAUAAUUUAAUUUUUCAAACUUUAAUUCUCAAAUAAUUUUCCAAAACUCCAAUUUUCAAAUUUAUUCUUUUAGAAAUCUCCAUUUUCAAGUAAAUUUCCAAAAUUCCAAAUUUUAUAUUUUAUUUUUAAGAGAUCUCAUUCCCAAAUAAUUUUUCCAUGUUCCGAUUUUCUUGACUUUCAGUUUCAAAUUAUCUUUUUAGAAUUCCAAUUUUCUAAUUUAAUUCUUAGAGCUUCAAUUUUCAAAUUAGUUUCAAAAUUUGAUUUCCAAAAAUUUGUCUUUCAGAUGGUUUAAAUUUUUUUAAAUUUAUUCAUUUAAUUUGUUUAUUGAAAACCUGAUUUUUAAUAAACGUGCUGCCAUUUUUUCAUUCAGGCAUGCAUCUUGUGAUUUUCUUCGAUUUUUAAUGAUUUUCUCAUUUUUCACUAUUUUUAAUAAGCAUAAAGACAAUUUUCAUAAUUCUAAAAUAAGGAAAUUUGUGAGAUUAAUUUAUGCAAGACCAAUUGGGCUUUGGUGGGGGCCCUAAAUAUAAGAUUUCUCUUUUGAUUGUUAAUUGUUAUGUUUAAUGAAUAUUGUUUGAUUUUUGUUCUAAUCUUUGACAUGUAUGCGAUAAUUUUAUACUUAAGCUAACAUUAUUUCCAUGAUAACACACUAUUAUUUGUUGCUAAGAUACGAUCUCACCCACACUUUGCUCAUUCUGAUGCAUGAUUCGCUUUAUUAUUUGAUUAUUUCAUUUUGGUAUCCUUGAUUUUCUUAUCGAUUAUUAUGCUUACUUCAUCUCAUUAGUAGAGACCCGUUUUUAGGGACUUAGAGGGGUGUUAUGGUCUUUAUCGUACCUUCCCAAUAAGUAAUCUAACCCUAAACCCCGACUUGGUUUUUCACAAACCUGUUUUUUCGAAUAACGAAUUACACUUAGGGUUUUUAUUUCUUAUUUUAUUUUCCCUUUAAAAAAAAUAAUAAAAAAAGUGGUGAUUCCAAGUCAUUUUCUAAAUAAAUAAAUAAAUUAUUUCCAAAUAAAAAGCAAGUUCGCCAUCGAGUGGAAGCGCAUGAGCCGAAAUACGGGGUCCAUAAUUUCUUAUUUUCUAUUUUUUAGAAAGAAAAAUAAUAGUAAUUCUUAUAUAAAAUGUAAAAACUUUGUGAAAUUAAUUAUAAAAGAUAAUGAUUUUUAAAAGUUAUUUUAAAAAAUUGAGUAUUAAUUUUUUUUAUUUAUAAUCUCAAAUUUUAAAAAUAAUUCUUAAAGAUAGAAGCUUCAUUUAUGCUUUUAGAACCAAAAAUGAGAAAUAUAUUCAAAUAAUCACUAAAUUUAUUUAGGGUUAUUUGAUUAAAAGGGUUAUUGAAACCCAAUUUUGGAAAUCUAAUCAUUCCAAUGGUGAAAAUAUCGGUAAUUACGAAUAUAUCGGUACUUCGAUUUUACGGAUAUAUCGAAAAUAUCGAUGAAUAUUUUUUCACAAAUAUUGAUGGAGUGAAAAUUAUUUAAAAUCCAUAGGAAUGCUUGAAAAAAUUCCAAAAAAUGAUAAAAUAAGUAAGAAUACAUAUUUUAAAGUUAUUUUGUAAGUGUAGUUCACAUAUAUAUGAUCAAGAAGAAAAACAUCGUUAGAUUCAAUAUUUGAAUUUUAAGAAUAAUAAAUAUGAAUUUUGGAAGUGUAUAAAGUUAGAAUUGAGUUAAGAAAUAUUUGAUUUUAUUGAAUAAAAACAAUUUAUACAUAAAUAUAAUACAUAUGACAUUGCAAUACUCUUGUUAGAUGAAGGGAAUCCAUCUCCUUGAAGACAAUAUUUAUUUAAAAAAUUUUAAAAUAUUUUUAUUAAAACAUGUUUUAUUACAUUUUAAAUAAAAAUUUAAAUUAAUUUAUAUAAAACAUAUUAUUUGAGAUUUAAUUUUUAAAAUUUUAUUAAAAAUGUGUCUUAAUAACUUUUUUAAUUAAUAUUAAUUUAUUUAAAUAAUUAAAAUUAAUAAUAAUUUAUCUUAUCAAAUUAAUUUUAAUUUAUAAAAUAUCGUGGAUAAAAACCAAAAUUUUAAUCCUGAUUUAAUAAAAAUUAAGAUGGAUAAUUAAUAAUUAUUUAUAUAAAGAGAGGAAAAUUGUUCUCAUGAUUUUCUAUUUUUUUUUUAAUCUCUACUAAAUCUAAAAAUCAAAAGUGCCACCCACUUCUCUCACUCGGGCAUUGAGAAGCCCUUGUCUGAAGUUGCCCUCCAGACGAGAGAAUCCCUUGAAAGGCCCUAUUUUCCUCUGCCACUAUCAAUCCUCCAAGGUACUAAUCUAAUCAUGUUAUUAUUAUUUUUUUUUUUGCAACCCCGUUUGAUUCCCAAGGAAAUCCAUCCCCCAUUCGAAUUCCGGGAAAAUUCAUCUCAAGGAAAACCAAAAAAAUUGCUUUUCUUUUGCUCCCUGUGUUUUCUGGAGCUGUUCUAGGGGUCUCUUUGCUGUUGUGCCAUUGGAUUUAAAUUUCACGAACCCUAAAUCCACGAUUUUUGAGCCAGGCUGAAAAGCACAACCUUUGCCUGCAAAUCAUGAUCAGAUUACCAAAUAGCAUCUUAUGUUUUUUUUAAAAAAAAAAAAAAAUUGGACAGAUUUUGUAUCCUGUGCGCGGACUGGACUGGUAGGAAAUUUCCCGAAAAAUCGGUAAAAAUACCGACAAAUACCGAAAUAUUGGCGAUAUUUUUAAAAAAUUACCGAAAUUUCCGUUGACCGAUAAUCGGUGACGAAUAUUGUGUUGGACCCGGCCGAUAAGCGAUAUUAUCGCCGAAAUUUUUCGACAUUUCAAUCCUUGGUCCCAAGGGUUGGGAGCACCCCAUAACAGUGAAAUACGGUAAUCACAUUGAUUUUGUAUUUGAAACUUUAUGAUAAACUUACAUAUGUUUUAAAAAUUAAAAUUUCUUAUUUAUUUAUUUAUUAUUAUUAUUAUUAUUUUUAUGAUGUAAACAUUUGCCAUGUAAGAAGGACAUUCCUCAAGAAACCAAAACGCAAUUUGGAGCAAUGAAGAAUUGUUGUGGAAAUGGAUCUAAAACUUAGGGUUUCUCUUUCUAUACUUGCCACAUUCCUAAAAACAAUCUAAGUUCAUUCAAUCUCAGAUUCUGCUAGAGAAAGUUGUAUGUGGUUGCUUCCUCCUCCAAGGUAUGCCCUCAUAAUUGGAAACCGUUUCUUUUGCUAUUUGUUAUUGUUGAAUUAUAGCUACACUGCAUUUGGAUGCUGGGAAAACUGAUUAAAUAAAAGGAAAUCUGAUAUUGAUUCUCAUUUGCCAAGUUUUGUUUCAUUCAAGCAAUGGUCUUCUACUUUUCUUUUGAUAGAAGAUCAUAGUGUUUUUUGCGGUUUGUUUGGUUGAUGAGAAAAACUGAUAAAAAACAAGGUGAUCAAGUAUUGCAGUUCCUGCUUUUUAUUUGGUUAUUGUUGAAAAUUGUGAAUCAACCCAAACAGGGACUGCAUAGGUAAUCAAUUUGGUUCAGCUUGCAUGAGUUUCAUGAUGAAGUUUGUUUUUAAGGAUUCUUAUAUAGCGUGUUGAUCCAAUGGAACACCAUUCUUCUUCGAUAGUAAUCUCUAUUUUAAUUCUUACAGAGUUAAAGGCCUCUGAACAUGGUGGCAUUGCGCAAUAGUUUGAUAUGGCCAUUCUUGAUGAUAAUGGUACUUCAUGGUAUGGCCAUUUUCCUGUUCACAAGAGGAUUUCUCCUCACUCGCACGGAGCUUCCGCAUUUCAGCACUUGCUCUGACAUCUCCGACUCUCCAUGUAUUUCUCCUUCUUCCUAUUCUUCAAAUCUCAACCAAACCCAUCUACAUCAACUCCAAUGUUGGACUAGGCCUGUUGUUGAUCGUCUUGUUAUCAUUGUCCUUGAUGCACUGAGGUAAAAAAAGUUUGCUUUUGUUUGAAUCCUUCUCUUUUUUCUCAGACAAGGUAACAAUUAAUUGUUUGAGGUGUAUUCCUACUUUUCAGGUUUGAUUUUGUUGCUCCCAGUGCCUGCUUUGAAGGUUAGCUUUUUUACUUUUUGAACAGUGAUGAAUGCUUAUGUUAAUGAACAUUAACUUUCAGUAAUUGCUUAAUUGUGAAAUACCAGAAAGUACAAUCUGCACUCGAGUAAUGGUACUUUCUUGAUGCUUUUCUGUUCAGAUUGGUGUUGCUUGUUAAAUGGUAAUCAGCUUGAUAUGUGUAGUUGAUGAAUUGGCCAGAGAUUUUAGCUUUUUGUAUGGUGGUUGUAGUCUGUAUGCUUCACUUACACAUGGGUACUGGUUGAGUACCUUCUGUAAUUUUUUAAUUAUUUUUUGCAUUACCUCUUGCUUGUACAAGUAUGAGCACUUAGUGGCUUCUUUUCUUUUUUAGGUAUGGGAAGCUUAAACAACUCACCAAAUCUUUCUAAUCUGUUUUCAAUUUUGAUUUAUGUGAAAUCUUGUUUUUUGAGUUUGUUGUACUGAUCUCAAGCAAAGUAUUACCAGUUAUCUCUUCAAUAGUUCUUCUGUGGCAGUAUAAUUAGCUAAAUUUAUUUCCUACAGAGAAGAAACCAUGGAUGGACAAGCUACAAGUGUUACAGAAACUGGCAUCUACACAAGGAUCAUCGGCUAGGAUUUUCAAAGCCAUUUCAGAUCCACCUACAACCAGUUUGCAACGUUUGAAGGUAAUAUUUUCUUUCACUAUGAUAAUGGUAGUUGGACCUUGGUAUGAUGUCUCAUCUCCCACUUUAAGCAAAUUAUAAUGGUCAAUUAGUCUUUGAAAAAUUAUUUUGACAAUUUUGUUCUUUGUUUUGUAGUUCUCAUUUUAAUGUAGAAAAUUUAAAAUUUAAUAUUGUGAGGUUUGCUAUUUCUUCUUUCUUGGGCUCAUUAACACAAAGAUCAGCAUGUUUCAAGAAUCAAAUUGAUCUGUGGAUAGAAGAAUAAUCAGUAAUUUUCAAUCCCUGUGUUCCCUGCAACUUUGAUUUAUGACUUAAUUUGUUAGAGCAGGAAAUUGAUGAGCUAUCCUUAUCAUUGCUCAUGUCAUACCUUGUUUACAUCUCUCAUUUUCUGAUUAGAGGGUUUGGACAUCUUCCCCUGGUCUAUUUCUUCUCAAUCUUUGUUUUCUGCUGUUGCAAAUAUUGAUUCUCCAGUGCUUUUUCAGGGGCCAAUUUCAUUUAGAAUUCUGAAGUUCAUCAGAAGCUAGAGCUUUUCCUUGUUUAGCCGCAAUGAAAGGGUUAAUACCAUUGAAUGGUUGUUGGCUAGAGGCCUUACAUUACCCAUAAUCCUGAGGGUUGUGUUCUCAGCUUAAACAACAGUGACACAGCAGGCCAUUUCUUUCUACUAUGCCCUGUGUGGUUCAUGAAAUAUGUUGCUCAAGGAGGC